rnacentral:rRNA from 1 species
GAUGAACGCUGGCGGCGUGCCUAAUACAUGCAAGUCGAGCGAACAGACGAGGAGCUUGCUCCUCUGACGUUAGCGGCGGACGGGUGAGUAACACGUGGAUAACCUACCUAUAAGACUGGGAUAACUUCGGGAAACCGGAGCUAAUACCGGAUAAUAUAUUGAACCGCAUGGUUCAAUAGUGAAAGACGGUUUUGCUGUCACUUAUAGAUGGAUCCGCGCCGCAUUAGCUAGUUGGUAAGGUAACGGCUUACCAAGGCUACGAUGCGUAGCCGACCUGAGAGGGUGAUCGGCCACACUGGAACUGGGACACGGUCCAGACUACUACGGGAGGCAGCAGUAGGGAAUCUUCCGCAAUGGGCGAAAGCCUGACGGAGCAACGCCGCGUGAGUGAUGAAGGUCUUCGGAUCGUAAAACUCUGUUAUUAGGGAAGAACAAAUGUGUAAGUAACUAUGCACGUAUUGACGGUACCUAAUCAGAAAGCCACGGCUAACUACGUG